rnacentral:rRNA from 1 species
GACGAACGCUGGCGGCGUGCCUAAUACAUGCAAGUAGAACGCUGAAGGAGGAGCUUGCUUCUCUGGAUGAGUUGCGAACGGGUGAGUAACGCGUAGGUAACCUGCCUGGUAGCGGGGGAUAACUAUUGGAAACGAUAGCUAAUACCGCAUAAGAGUAGAUGUUGCAUGACAUUUGCUUAAAAGGUGCAAUUGCAUCACUACCAGAUGGACCUGCGCUGUAUUAGCUAGUUGGUGGGGUAACGGCUUACCAAGGCGACGAUACAUAGCCGACCUGAGAGGGUGAUCGGCCACACUGGGACUGAGACACGGCCCAGACUCCUACGGGAGGCAGCAGUAGGGAAUCUUCGGCAAUGGACGGAAGUCUGACCGAGCAACGCCGCGUGAGUGAAGAAGGUUUUCGGAUCGUAAAGCUCUGGUGUAAGAGAAGAACGAGUGUGAGAGUGGAAAGUUCACACUGUGACGGUAUCUGACCAGAAAGGGACGGCUAACUACGUG